rnacentral:rRNA from 1 species
UACGUAGGAGGCAAGCGUUGUCCGGAAUUACUGGGCGUAAAGCGCGUGUAGGUGGUGGGACAAGUCUGCUGUGAAAGCGCCUGGCUUAACCGGGCGAGGUCGGCGGAAACUGUCCGACUCGAGGACGGUAGAGGGUGGAAUUCCCGGUGUAGUGGUGAAAUGCGUAGAGAUCGGGAGGAACACCUGUGGCGAAGGCGGCCCUGGGCCGGCCCGCU